rnacentral:rRNA from 1 species
GAUUGAACGCUGGCGGCAGGCCUAACACAUGCAAGUCGAACGGUAACAGGAAGCAGCUUGCUGCUUUGCUGACGAGUGGCGGACGGGUGAGUAAUGUCUGGGAAACUGCCUGAUGGAGGGGGAUAACUACUGGAAACGGUGGCUAAUACCGCAUAACGUCGCAAGACCAAAGAGGGGGACCUUCGGGCCUCUUGCCAUCAGAUGUGCCCAGAUGGGAUUAGCUUGUUGGUGAGGUAACGGCUCACCAAGGCGACGAUCCCUAGCUGGUCUGAGAGGAUGACCAGCCACACUGGAACUGAGACACGGUCCAGACUCCUACGGGAGGCAGCAGUGGGGAAUAUUGCACAAUGGGCGCAAGCCUGAUGCAGCCAUGCCGCGUGUAUGAAGAAGGCCUUCGGGUUGUAAAGUACUUUCAGCGGGGAGGAAGGUGUUGUGGUUAAUAACCGCAGCAAUUGACGUUACCCGCAGAAGAAGCACCGGCUAACUCCGUGCCAGCAGCCGCGGUAAUACGGAGGGUGCAAGCGUUAAUCGGAAUUACUGGGCGUAAAGCGCACGCAGGCGGUCUGUCAAGUCGGAUGUGAAAUCCCCGGGCUCAACCUGGGAACUGCAUUCGAAACUGGCAGGCUUGAGUCUUGUAGAGGGGGGUAGAAUUCCAGGUGUAGCGGUGAAAUGCGUAGAGAUCUGGAGGAAUACCGGUGGCGAAGGCGGCCCCCUGGACAAAGACUGACGCUCAGGUGCGAAAGCGUGGGGAGCAAACAGGAUUAGAUACCCUGGUAGUCCACGCCGUAAACGAUGUCUACUUGGAGGUUGUGCCCUUGAGGCGUGGCUUCCGGAGCUAACGCGUUAAGUAGACCGCCUGGGGAGUACGGCCGCAAGGUUAAAACUCAAAUGAAUUGACGGGGGCCCGCACAAGCGGUGGAGCAUGUGGUUUAAUUCGAUGCAACGCGAAGAACCUUACCUGGUCUUGACAUCCACAGAACWUUCCAGAGAUGGAUUGGUGCCUUCGGGAACUGUGAGACAGGUGCUGCAUGGCUGUCGUCAGCUCGUGUUGUGAAAUGUUGGGUUAAGUCCCGCAACGAGCGCAACCCUUAUCCUUUGUUGCCAGCGGUCCGGCCGGGAACUCAAAGGAGACUGCCAGUGAUAAACUGGAGGAAGGUGGGGAUGACGUCAAGUCAUCAUGGCCCUUACGACCAGGGCUACACACGUGCUACAAUGGCGCAUACAAAGAGAAGCGACCUCGCGAGAGCAAGCGGACCUCAUAAAGUGCGUCGUAGUCCGGAUUGGAGUCUGCAACUCGACUCCAUGAAGUCGGAAUCGCUAGUAAUCGUGGAUCAGAAUGCCACGGUGAAUACGUUCCCGGGCCUUGUACACACCGCCCGUCACACCAUGGGAGUGGGUUGCAAAAGAAGUAGGUAGCUUAACCUUCGGGAGGGCGCUUACCACUUUGUGAUUCAUGACUGGGGUGAA